UACGGAGGGUGCAAGCAUUAAUCGGAUUUAUUGGGCGUAAAGGGCGCGUAGGCGGGUUUGUAAGUCAGAUGUGAAAGCCCGGGGCUCAACCCCGGAACAGCAUUUGGUACUGCUAAUCUAGAGGGUAGGCGGAGAAAAUGGAAUUCCACAAGUAGCGGUGAAAUGCGUAGAUAUGUGGAAGAACACCGGUGGCGAAGGCGAUUUUCUAGCUUAUACCUGACGCUGAGGCGCGAAAGCAAGGGGAUCAAACAGG
rnacentral:rRNA from 1 species